UGCAGUCGAGCGAACUGAUUAGAAGCUUGCUUCUAUGACGUUAGCGGCGGACGGGUGAGUAACACGUGGGCAACCUGCCUGUAAGACUGGGAUAACUUCGGGAAACCGAAGCUAAUACCGGAUAGGAUCUUCUCCUUCAUGGGAGAUGAUUGAAAGAUGGUUUCGGCUAUCACUUACAGAUGGGCCCGCGGUGCAUUAGCUAGUUGGUGAGGUAACGGCUCACCAAGGCAACGAUGCAUAGCCGACCUGAGAGGGUGAUCGGCCACACUGGGACUGAGACACGGCCCAGACUCCUACGGGAGGCAGCAGUAGGGAAUCUUCCGCAAUGGACGAAAGUCUGACGGAGCAACGCCGCGUGAGUGAUGAAGGCUUUCGGGUCGUAAAACUCUGUUGUUAGGGAAGAACAAGUACGAGAGUAACUGCUUGUACCUUGACGGUACCUAACCAGAAAGCCACGGCUAACUACGUGCCAGCAGCCGCGGUAAUACGUAGGUGGCAAGCGUUAUCCGGAAUUAUUGGGCGUAAAGCGCGCGCAGGCGGUUUCUUAAGUCUGAUGUGAAAGCCCACGGCUCAACCGUGGAGGGUCAUUGGAAACUGGGGAACUUGAGUGCAGAAGAGAAAAGCGGAAUUCCACGUGUAGCGGUGAAAUGCGUAGAGAUGUGGAGGAACACCAGUGGCGAAGGCGGCUUUUUGGUCUGUAACUGACGCUGAGGC
rnacentral:rRNA from 2 species